UAAACGACUCUCGGCAACGGAUAUCUCGGCUCUCGCAUCGAUGAAGAACGUAGCNNNNNGCGAUACUUGGUGUGAAUUGCAGAAUCCCGUGAACCAUCGAGUUUUUGAACGCAAGUUGCGCCCGAAGCCAUUAGGUUGAGGGCACGUCUGCCUGGGCGUCUCAC
rnacentral:rRNA from 1 species